GGGCUCAUCUCAGCAGCACAUGUGCUAAUGUUGGAUCGAUAUAGAAAAGAUUAGCAUGGCCCCCAAGCAGGGUUGACGUACAAAGUCAUGAAGCAUUUUGUAUAUGU